ACAAAUUUAGACUCAGUUUUUUGCCAAAACACAUUGAAGUUAUAAAAGCAAAAUGCUGAGGGUGAUUGUUUUCACUCAAUAUUUAAAUUUAAACAAAAUUUUAUGAAUCACAAGAGUAUUGUUAUUACAACAACAUCGCACUAUUACAUAUUUGAUAUGUGUUUCAACCACAUUCUAAAAUACAUAAAUAACUCAGCAUCACUCUUUCAGGGAUCUGAUACCACAGUGCAUAUAAAUACCAGCAAAGCAAGGUAAGCAAGGUAAAUAUAGAAUAGAUUGCCCGAGAGCAAAAUAAUAUUAAUAAUAAAAAAAAUAACCCAUUACAGGAUAUAAACUAAAAAUGCUCCUUCUGUUAGACAGGUGACYGGAAUCGGACGAUUUUCAGCUUGACCUGCCUGGCUGGUGACCGGCAAACGAGACACMGAAAAAUCUGAUUUUCCUUUUCUUCGGUCAGUAAACGCACCUUAAAACAGGAAAGCAGCAUGCUGGCUCAUCAUGUGGAAUGUGUGGUGUUUUUUUUCUUUGUUUUUUUAAAUUUUUUAAACAGGUCAAAAAAAAAGUUACAGUUGUGAUGAGGGUGUGGGAGUCCUAGGGGAAAAAGUUUGUAUUGUAGCAUUUGUGGGCUUUUAAUUAUUAUUUGGGAAAUUUGGUACCUCUUGAAACAUAAAUAGAACUGAUUCAUGUUUUUUUAGCAAUAUUUUUCACUAAUCAAAGUAUCUGGAAACUUAUCUUAAGAGURCAUGCCAUUCAAUAAUUCAGAGGUGUGUUGAGCUCCAUAAAUCGGUAAUGAAGAUCUGAGGUGAACCAUAUUUGUUAAAUUAAUAAAGUUAAAUGAAAAAAAAGCUGAAAAUGUGUCACACCAGGUUGGAUAAGAAGUUUAAUUUGACUGCCCAUGCAGUGAAAGUUAAAGUUCAAAUAUAUCCAGCUGUUGCCAUAGGAAACCAAUGGUAUGUUUGGGUCGUCAGUUAUCCACAACAACUUUUCUUCACUAUCAACCUAGCAAUUGGUUUUUCAGGAGCCAUCCCAUAAAAAUGAAUAAAUAACAGAAAAAAAAACACUUUUGUGUACGCAGUACUACUGAGACUACAAAGCAGAUUUUAUAUAACAGAGGAUAUUCAUGUGAAAAGGCGRCAUCAUGCAUACUGUUGGGCACAGUGGAGGAUCUGUGAUGCUGUGGAUUUGCUUCUCUUCCAAAGCACUCGGCUCUUUCACAUAGAAACCCUGAGAGUCACAUAAUCUAUGUAAACGUCAAGAUCCUUUCAUUUAGAAUGCACUCAAGUUAAAUUCUGGAUUAUUCUAAUGUUUUCAGAACAUGAACUCCUGCACUGCAGUUUACCACAGCAAAGGAUGAAUUUACUUUCCUCUGUGUCUUCUUUUUCUUUCACCUUUGAUUUUACAGCUCAGUAUAUUCUAACACAUCUCAGUGUUUUCAUAGCGGUGAGAGAUUCAAAGGUGCAACCGUGUCUGUCACCUUCAUGGUCGACUUUGGGGGAAAUGCGAAUUUCACUCAAGUACAUGUUGACUUGCUUGAUGUGUGUCUAGUUUUACUGAAUCUCUUCUCUUUCAGAGAACGUAAUGGAAGAAAGGACCUUAAGUUACCUCAAGACCAACCUYAGUGCUGCAGGUCUAAUGCUCGCCAUGAAGCGCAAACUAAUCAUGUAUAAAUAACAUCAGACAUGAAAUAUAUUAGCGAUAUCUAAUGUCACCUGGSCUGCUUGGUGCUAGACAGUGUACAGUUUCUGUCUGAGGGAGUGAGACGGGCAGAGAUUUACAUCUAAGAAGGUUAUGACACAGAAGCUCCGGUGUGGAUCUUCUUCUUACAUCCUGGAAUGUGGCGGGCCAGACUCAUCCAGUUCAGGCAAACAUGAAGUCAUUUUAUGGAUAUCAGCGGAGCAACUGCAGCUGCCGCACACAGUCCCCUGCACAGCUGGAAUCAGUCACCCACCAAGUGACAUCUUUAGAGAAGGCAGCAAAGAGAAAAGAGAGAUUUGUUCCAAGUGUGGGGUGGCAAGAGGUAGGAGUGAGAGGAGUGACUGAUCAAUAGAAAGAAGUUAGAGAGAAACAGAGAACUAAAGGCAAGAAAAAAGAAAAAAAGAGAAACAGAGGGGAGAAGAGACAACAGGACRACGAAAGCAGGAAGGGAAGCAGCGAGGCGGCAGCUGGAACGGGCAGACGCAUGAGGAGAAUCCCAAUAACCUGCUGUUCUUUCCUUGAGAGCGAGGAUAAUGCACUGUGUGCCGAGUGUUCAAGUGAGAGCGGACAAAGCGUGCCGUAUUUGAUUGGAGGGCCGUGUUUGUGUGUGGCUUUCUGACUGUGUGAUUGUUUCCAGCAAAUGUGUCAGAAGAUGGCACAUAUGUGGAGGGUUUCUUCCAGCCAGAGUUUGUCCCUCUGCAGGCAUGCAUGUUGCUCAUUAGGUGAGGACUGUGUGACAGUAUGUGUGUGCAGUGCUGCUCUUGACCAAAAGAAGUCAGCCUUGUGCUGUAAAACUAUCGCCACGUGUUAUUGGACAGCCAGGCAGAGAUGGACAACGACACAGCAAACGGGCUGACCGUUUGGAUUUCACAGUGUGGAUUCAACUCCAACGUCUUGGUGAAAUCGCUCAAUUUAUCUUCUCGGUUUUCAGUUAAUUAAGACGGAUUAUUAGCAUCUGAACAUGAAAGUGUUUAGGUAUAAUACGCAAUAAAAAAAAAACAAAAAAAAAAACAAUUGUCAUUGGGCAAGAAAAUAAUAACCCUAAUUUAGUUUAAGUGUGAGGUGUAGUCAUAAUUAGAUGGCGGCCUUAUCUCAGGUUGAGCAUGACCCAUGAAAUUCUGAAUCCUGUACCAAAAAAACAACCUUAGUUGCUGGAUCAGAAUUUGUAACGGGUUUGGACUUGUAAAAUAGUGACUGACCACUUUAUUAGGUACACAUGAUUAACUCCUUUGUAACGCAAAUGACGACUCAGCCACUGGCAGCAACUCGGUGCGGUUAGGCAUCUAGAUGUGGUGAAGUAGUUUUGCUGAAGUUCAAUAAAAAGCAUGACAAAGAGGAAGGAAGGGUGUUGAAGUGGCUGUAACCACUGCAUUGUUUUUGCCAAACAGGAUUCCUUGACUCGUUUCCAAAACUGCUGAUCUACUGAGAAUCUUUAAUGGACAACAAACUCCUGAGCUCAGAGAUUUAUCUGAAAAUGAGAAAAUAUAGAGAGAGCGGCAGCCGUGUGGACAAAAUAUACCAUAAAAAUGGUAUUUCCUGGUACUUUUUAUUAAUGUUAAAAGUAAGUCUGUAACAAUAAGCAAAAAUGUAAUUAACUGUAUGAUAAAUUACAAUGAAUUUUCAUUCUGAUCAGUAAUAUUUUCUGAAGGAGACUCCAUAAUCAAUUUCUUUAUGGUUUCGGUUGUGUGUGAUUUGUAUUUUCAAUUUAUUUAUCAUUCUUGGUUAUUU